UUGAACGCUGGCGGCAGGCCUAACACAUGCAAGUCGAGCGGAUGAAGAGAGCUUGCUCUCUGAUUCAGCGGCGGACGGGUGAGUAAUGCCUAGGAAUCUGCCUGGUAGUGGGGGACAACGUCUCGAAAGGGACGCUAAUACCGCAUACGUCCUACGGGAGAAAGCAGGGGACCUUCGGGCCUUGCGCUAUCAGAUGAGCCUAGGUCGGAUUAGCUAGUUGGUGAGGUAAUGGCUCACCAAGGCGACGAUCCGUAACUGGUCUGAGAGGAUGAUCAGUCACACUGGAACUGAGACACGGUCCAGACUCCUACGGGAGGCAGCAGUGGGGAAUAUUGGACAAUGGGCGAAAGCCUGAUCCAGCCAUGCCGCGUGUGUGAAGAAGGUCUUCGGAUUGUAAAGCACUUUAAGUUGGGAGGAAGGGCUGUAGAUUAAUACUUUGCAAUUUUGACGUUACCGACAGAAUAAGCACCGGCUAACUCUGUGCCAGCAGCCGCGGUAAUACAGAGGGUGCAAGCGUUAAUCGGAAUUACUGGGCGUAAAGCGCGCGUAGGUGGUUUGUUAAGUUGGAUGUGAAAGCCCCGGGCUCAACCUGGGAACUGCAUUCAAAACUGACAAGCUAGAGUAUGGUAGAGGGUGGUGGAAUUUCCUGUGUAGCGGUGAAAUGCGUAGAUAUAGGAAGGAACACCAGUGGCGAAGGCGACCACCUGGACUGAUACUGACACUGAGGUGCGAAAGCGUGGGGAGCAAACAGGAUUAGAUACCCUGGUAGUCCACGCCGUAAACGAUGUCAACUAGCCGUUGGGAGCCUUGAGCUCUUAGUGGCGCAGCUAACGCAUUAAGUGACCGCCUGGGACACGCCAUGGCAAAC
rnacentral:rRNA from 1 species